UACGUAGGGUGCAAGCGUUAAUCGGAAUUACUGGGCGUAAAGCGUGCGCAGGCGGUUAUAUAAGACAGAUGUGAAAUCCCCGGGCUCAACCUGGGACCUGCAUUUGUGACUGUAUAGCUAGAGUACGGUAGAGGGGGAUGGAAUUCCGCGUGUAGCAGUGAAAUGCGUAGAUAUGCGGAGGAACACCGAUGGCGAAGGCAAUCCCCUGGACCUGUACUGACGCUC
rnacentral:rRNA from 1 species